UACGUAGGGGGCUAGCGUUGUCCGGAAUCAUUGGGCGUAAAGCGCGUGUAGGCGGUCCGGUAAGUCCGCUGUGAAAGUCGGGGGCUCAACCCUCGAAUGCCGGUGGAUACUGUCGGGCUAGAGUGCGGAAGAGGAGAGUGGAAUUCCUGGUGUAGCGGUGAAAUGCGCAGAUAUCAGGAAGAACACCUAUGGCGAAGGCAGCUCUCUGGGACGGUACUGACGCUGAGACGCGAAAGCGUGGGGAGCGAACAGG
rnacentral:rRNA from 1 species